UAAUUACCUCUUAUUAACCUCCUACCAAACCAUUUUCAAUAAUAACUCUCAUACUAAUAAAAGAACACAUGAAAGUAAUUUUCACAUGAACCUCAAGGUGGAAGUACGCACCAAUGGGAUCCAUAAGUAGUAUGGUUCAUUUUCCUAUGCAAAAUCCACAUAAGCAAAUUUUAGUUACCCAUAAAGGGCAUGAUCCUACAACUUAAGAUAGCAAUGAACAUAUGCCAAUUCUCCAUCUUCCAUUAAAUGAUAGCUUUAUUUAUAGAUGGCAUCAUUAAUGAAAGAAAUCAAAAACCAGAUUUCUUUCCACAGAAGGAAAACAAAACUUCAACUCUCUUAAAUUACUUCAACUAUAAAAGCAUAGGGGACCCUUUUUUUUUUCAUGGAACUAUAGCAACCUUCAGCUAGAAAAGUUGGCAACUCUUUUUUGUUUGAUUUUCCUUUGGAUUUGGGUUUGGAUUUGGAUUUUUCAUCCAAGUCCUAAAAUGGAAAAAUUUGGUGCUUGGAUGGGUGGAUCCGCUACUCUCGAGCAGGCAUACUUCAGUUGAAGUUUCCAAAUCUUAACAACCCUCAACCCCUUUAAAAAGAAUUUCUGAAGUAUCAACAAAAAAGUUUCCAAACAUGUAUUUUCUUCAUGUCAGAUUUACAGAUAAAAACUUUCCACAAAAACCGUAAUUAGUUUCUUACCAUGAGCAGAAUAGCAGGUAAAUUCUAAUUCAUCCUACAGAACAAGACUGUCCAAAGAAAAGAGAGGGAAGAAAAAGCCCAAAUGGUCCAAUUAUUAGUAUCAUUUCAUGACAGGAUUAUAAGUAUAAAAUCCAUACUCAAUUCUGUAUAUCUGUGUUUGAGAUGAGAAUUCGUUUGAAAAAAAGAAGGAAAAAAACACACAAUCUCACAUAUAAUUUUAGAAAUCAUCUGUUGUUGUUGUGCCAAUCAGACUAUAUAUAUGCAAUUUGACAAUUUUUUAUAAUACCUUUCCUUUCGUUAAUUUCUAUAGCAAAUCAUAAGAUUUCUAGCGUAGUUUAAUUUUGUUAAAAUAAUUUUACUUGCAUGGAUAUCUGAAUGUUCAUCAAUCCCAGAAUGUAGGCUUGCUUUCAGCACUUCUUUUACAAUAUUUUUGUGUUGGAUUUUGAUUUGUGUUUCAGCAGGACAAAUCCAUAAGUUAUCAGAUUCUUUUAUCAUUUUGCAAAUUUCCGAAUUCAAUAUCUUCUUGUGUUUAUUAUACAGAAGCCAUGAAAUUUGAUGAAGUCAAUGUGAGUUCUUCGGGAAAAAUGUGGUGGAGCACGAGCUAGGAGGAUUAGAUGAAACCCUGGAUAAUGCUCCUGCUCUGAAGGCACAAGAUCAUCAGCAUUUCCAAUCAUCAGGAAAACAAAAGGUUAAAACUUGUGUAUCAAAUCAAGCUUUCCAUGGAUGGACGUUGAACAUUUUCUUAAACUAUCCGCAUACACACACAGGAUGAAGAGGAUUAGCAAACCAAGAAGAGAGUUUCUUCUUCUGCCAUGGGAACAAGAGGUUAAGCAACAAUAGGAGGACAGGAACUAUCAAAUGGUAUAACAAUCAAAGAGGGUAUGGAUUUAUAACGCCAAAUGAUGGUGGGGACGUAGAUGUGUUUGUCCAUUACUUAUCUCUGAAAUCCGAUGGCUACAUACAUCUCUGGCCUGGCGCAUUAGUUGAGUAUGAAAGUGUUGUAGGUGCUUCUGAUGCCAAAAUGCAAGCAAUUAACGUGACUGCUCCUGGUGGAAGAUUGCUUCAAGACAGUAUAAAAGUUUGUCUUGGAGAGGCAACCGCAGCCGCAGCCACAGGAGCAGUACUGGGAGUUGCAGUGGUGUUGGUCCUUGUUUCAAUUGUGGAGAAUGGGGACAUGUAGCCAAGAAUUGCUACAAUGCUGCACAGGGUCAUCAAGGAUGUGUAUGGGCAGGAAUUCAAUUGUUCCAAACAGCAGAGGAAUCUGGAGAAGGAUGGCUUGGUUUUGCUUGAUGCUGUUAUUGCGGAAAAAUGUGUCAUCUAGCAAAUAAUUGGCCUUCAUAAAUGAAUUGCAAGGAGUUGCUAGCUCCAUUAAUUUCUCCUUCAACCCUUUUUUUUUUUUCAAAGAAAGAGGAUGGUCUUGUCGGUUUUGUUUUUCUAAUUACUCAGUUAAUUGCAACCAUGGACAUGCCUAGUAAUUACUGCUUCUUCAUUCUCUACUUCUGUAAUUGUCAAGAGUUCCAAGUUAAA